AGAAGCAAAGAUAACAAUGCACUAUCCAAACCCUACAUUUCAAAAUUAUAAAACUAACGGUUAAGCAAAAUACAGAAGUUCAACAGUAUUACCAGCAAUAAGUUAAAAGUGAUUUGCAUUUUGACUUGCUUUAAAAAAACACCACUCCAAAAAUCAGCCAAAACCUAAUGCUUUUUAUUGUUACAGGUAUUCUUUCCAAAGCAUGCAACCAUUUUGCUGGCUGCUACUAUAAAACAAUCAAUAGCAAGGCAAUUGUAAAUUGUAAAUUUAAGGCUUUAAGAAUCUUGUAAAUCAAGCCAAUGAUAAUUCAGUGACUAUUAUUUGGAGAUUUUAACUCUGCUUCCUCUUCUUUGCAUUCCUCAGGGUCUCAGACUAACAAAGAAAGAAGUAAUUCUUGCAAUGGAAAUGACAGAUAUUUCAAUUGCAAGCCUCAAGUUUAACUGACAUUAGUUUUGGUGCUGUCCCUUAGUCCUCCACAAAAUUGUAGCAAAACAUUUGCCUUAUGAAUAUAUGAGGUAGCUGACUUGAUACCAUGAUUUACAUUUGAUUACAUUUUAAUCAUUGUUCAUAACAAAGGGCAAAAGGUUGAAAAGAAUGGAUCAGAAAUACACAAACGACGUACAAGCUGAAAGCGAAAUUUUAUGCUGUUAAUCUUAGUUCUGCUCAUCAGCUGUCUCCUCUUUGCAGGACUGCAGCUAAGAACCUCAGAACUUCACACCAUUUGACUUCAGAAUAUACAACCAAGGUUAAUUGAUUUGGAAA